rnacentral:rRNA from 1 species
UACGUAGGGUGCGAGCGUUGUCCGGAAUUAUUGGGCGUAAAGAGCUUGUAGGCGGUUUGUCGCGUCUGCCGUGAAAAUCCGAGGCUCAACCUCGGACUUGCGGUGGGUACGGGCAGACUAGAGUGUGGUAGGGGAGACUGGAAUUCCUGGUGUAGCGGUGAAAUGCGCAGAUAUCAGGAAGAACACCCGUGGCUAAGGCGGCUCUCUAGUACGGUACUGACGCUGAGACGCGAAAGCGUGGGGAGCGAACAGG